UACCAGCACCCCGAGUGUUCUGGGCGAUUAUUGGGCCUAAAGCAUCCGUAGCCGGUUUUACAAGUCCCCCGUUAAAUCCAGCUGCUUAACAGAUGGGCUGCGGAGGAUACUAUAAGACUAGGAGGCAGGAGAGGCAAGCGGUACUCAGUGGGUAGGGGUAAAAUCCGUUGAUCCAUGGAAGACCACCAGUGGCGAAGGCGGCUUGCCAGAAUGCGCUCGACGGUGAGGGAUGAAAGCUGGGGGAGCAAACCGG
rnacentral:rRNA from 1 species